CUUCAACCAUAUCGCGAUGGAGUAUGUUGGUUAUAUGCGUACAGGGUAUUGCCACACAAUAUGGGUCGUGGUUAUACACUCAAUGGAUAUCGCAACGGAAAAUAUGUCAUCGUCAUAUGCUUGUUGGUCGUCAGCUAAAACGAAAAAUCCAAAACAAUAAUUGAUGCCACAUAUAUAUCAUUAAUUAAAUCAAUCCAUCGUUCAUGCACACCAUUCAUGAUAAAACAGAAUAUUCAACACACGAAAAUACUCUUGUCCAUUCAUCUCCC
rnacentral:lncRNA from 1 species